rnacentral:rRNA from 1 species
GAUGAACGCUAGCGGGAGGCUUAACACAUGCAAGUCGAGGGGCAGCAUAGGGUAGCAAUACUCUGAUGGCGACCGGCAAACGGGUGAGUAACGCGUAUGCAACCUACCCUGUACAGGGGGAUAACCCGGAGAAAUUCGGACUAAUAUCCCGUAAUAAUAUCCGGAGGCAUCUUUGGAUAUUUAAAGUUCCGACGGUACGGGAUGGGCAUGCGUAACAUUAACUGGUUGGUAAGGUAACGGCUUACCAAGGCUAUGAUGUUUAGGGGUCCUGAGAGGGUGGUCCCCCACACUGGUACUGAGACACGGACCAGACUCCUACGGGAGGCAGCAGUGAGGAAUAUUGGUCAAUGGGCGCAAGCCUGAACCAGCCAUCCCGCGUGCAGGAAGACGGCCCUAUGGGUUGUAAACUGCUUUUCCAGGGAGGGAAACUUACGCACGUGUUGCGUGACUGACGGUACCCUGGGAAUAAGCAUCGGCUAACUCCGUGCCAGCAGCCGCGGUAACUAGUCUACG